UCUUUAAUAGCUCAGUGGUAGAGCGUAUGACUGUUAAUCAUUUGGUCGUAGGUUCAAAUCCUACUUAAAGAU
rnacentral:tRNA from 1 species